UACGGAGGGGGCUAGCGUUGUUCGGAAUUACUGGGCGUAAAGCGCACGUAGGCGGACUGUUAAGUCGGGGGUGAAAUCCUGGGGCUCAACCUCAGAAUUGCCUUCGAUACUGGCAGCCUUGAGUACGGGAGAGGUGAGUGGAAUUCCCAGUGUAGAGGUGAAAUUCGUAGAUAUUGGGAAGAACACCAGUGGCGAAGGCGGCUCACUGGCCCGUAACUGACGCUGAGGUGCGAAAGCGUGGGGAGCAAACAGG
rnacentral:rRNA from 1 species